UUUAGAGUUUUGAACAGGCUCAGGACGAACGCUGGCGGCGUGCCUAAUACAUGCAAGUCGAGCGGACAGAAGGGAGCUUGCUCCCGGAUGUUAGCGGCGGACGGGUGAGUAACACGUGGGUAACCUGCCUGUAAGACUGGGAUAACUCCGGGAAACCGGAGCUAAUACCGGAUAGUUCCUUGAACCGCAUGGUUCAAGGAUGAAAGACGGUUUCGGCUGUCACUUACAGAUGGACCCGCGGCGCAUUAGCUAGUUGGUGAGGUAACGGCUCACCAAGGCGACGAUGCGUAGCCGACCUGAGAGGGUGAUCGGCCACACUGGGACUGAGACACGGCCCAGACUCCUACGGGAGGCAGCAGUAGGGAAUCUUCCGCAAUGGACGAAAGUCUGACGGAGCAACGCCGCGUGAGUGAUGAAGGUUUUCGGAUCGUAAAGCUCUGUUGUUAGGGAAGAACAAGUGCAAGAGUAACUGCUUGCACCUUGACGGUACCUAACCAGAAAGCCACGGCUAACUACGUGCCAGCAGCCGCGGUAACGUAGGUGGCAAGCGUUGUCCGGAAUUAUUGGGCGUAAAGGGCUCGCAGGCGGUUUCUUAAGUCUGAUGUGAAAGCCCCCGGCUCAACCGGGGAGGGUCAUUGGAAACUGGGAAACUUGAGUGCAGAAGAGGAGAGUGGAAUUCCACGUGUAGCGGUGAAAUGCGUAGAGAUGUGGAGGAACACCAGUGGCGAAGGCGACUCUCUGGUCUGUAACUGACGCUGAGGAGCGAAAGCGUGGGAGCGAACAGGAUUAGAUACCCUGGUAGUCCACGCCGUAAACGAUGAGUGCUAAGUGUUAGGGGGUUUCCGCCCCUUAGUGCUGCAGCUAACGCAUUAAGCACUCCGCCUGGGGAGUACGGUCGCAAGACUGAAACUCAAAGGAAUUGACGGGGGCCCGCACAAGCGGUGGAGCAUGUGGUUUAAUUCGAAGCAACGCGAAGAACCUUACCAGGUCUUGACAUCCUCUGACAACCCUAGAGAUAGGGCUUUCCCUUCGGGGACAGAGUGACAGGUGGUGCAUGGUUGUCGUCAGCUCGUGUCGUGAGAUGUUGGGUUAAGUCCCGCAACGAGCGCAACCCUUGAUCUUAGUUGCCAGCAUUCAGUUGGGCACUCUAAGGUGACUGCCGGUGACAAACCGGAGGAAGGUGGGGAUGACGUCAAAUCAUCAUGCCCCUUAUGACCUGGGCUACACACGUGCUACAAUGGACAGAACAAAGGGCUGCGAGACCGCAAGGUUUAGCCAAUCCCACAAAUCUGUUCUCAGUUCGGAUCGCAGUCUGCAACUCGACUGCGUGAAGCUGGAAUCGCUAGUAAUCGCGGAUCAGCAUGCCGCGGUGGAAUACGUUCCCGGGGCCUUGUACACACCGCCCGUCACACCACGAGAGUUUGCAACACCCGAAGUCGGUGAGGUAACCUUUAUGGAGCCAGCCGCCGAAGGUGGGGCAGAUGAUUGGGGUGAAGUCGUAACAGGGUAAACCGUAAA
rnacentral:rRNA from 1 species